CUGGCUGAUGAGACUAAGGCGAAUGCGACCACCUACUGACUCUUGGCUGGUGGGGGGUGGGGUGGGGACAACUAUGGUGAGAUCUGAAAUCUUGGUGGGGGUACAGAAGCCUGACUCCCUACUGUAAGGCCAGAUCGAUAGGACUGCUGGCCUUGCCUUCAUGUCUGCUGCCACCAUAGCUCUAGCAGCAUCCUGUAGGGAGGCCCACAGUGGGUAGCCAAAGUGUGAGUAGCCAUGUGAGCGCAACCUUGAAUCUGACA